UUGUGGGUUUUUUUCCCCGCCAGUUUUCGGACUCACCUGCGCGUCAUCAGUGAAUCAGACCUCGGGUGUUCCCUCUCUUCACACCUCGAGCUCCAUGCUGUUCCGAGGAGGAGGAGGAGGAGGAGGAGGAGGAGGAGGGCUCGCUCUGGGGAAACAGAUGGAGACACAGCAGAGAGGGAGGAAGGUUCUGGACGGAGCCCAAGAGGCCACAGUGACCAGAUGCUGCCCGGCUGUCGCAGCUCUUUUCUGGGCAUCUCAGACACCUAGACGGCCUCUCACCUCUGGAACCGUCUGGUUUUUUUUCCUCGACGUUCCCCCACGUCUGACAGAGACCAGAGCUGACGGCCGGGGAUGGAAACCACACGAGGCCUCGGCUCUGAUUGCUGCUCCCGCUGAGCGCCGCCUGGACGAGGAGGAGGGGGAAUCUGACGACCUGCGAGCUGCUUCCCGGGAGAGCGAGCAGGCGCUCGAUAAAACUACACUUAUAGUGCCAGAGAGAGAGAGAGAGAGAGAGAGAGAGAGAGAGAGAGAGAGAGAGAGAGAGAGAGAGAGAGAGAGAGAGAGAGAGAG